rnacentral:rRNA from 1 species
GAAUUGUUCGCAAUGGGCGCAAGCCUGACGACGCAAUGCCGCGUGGAGGAUGAAGAAUUUCGGUUCGUAAACUCCUUUCGACCGAGAUGAACGCCUGCCGACCUAACACGUCGGCAGGGUGACAGUAUCGAGGGAAGAAGCCCCGGCUAACUCCGUGCCAGCCGCCGCGGUAAUCCGGGGGGGGCGAGCGUUGUUCGGAAUUACUGGGCGUAAAGGGUUCGUAGGUGGCCCGCUAAGUCAGAUGUGAAAUCCCUCGGCUCAACUGAGGAACUGCAUCUGAGACUGGAGGGCUUGAGUGCAGGAGAGGAAUGCGGAAUUCCAGGUGUAGCGGUGAAAUGCGUAGAUAUCUGGAGGAACACCGGUGGCGAAGGCGGCGUUCUGGACUGCAACUGACACUGAGGAACGAAAGCCAGGGGAGCAAACGGG